rnacentral:rRNA from 1 species
AAGCAUUCAGCACUCCGCCUGGGGAGUACGAACGCAAGGUUGAAACUCAAAGGAAUUUGACGGGGAGCGCACAAGCGGUGGAGCAUGUGGUUUAAUUCGAAGCAACGCGAAGAACCUUACCAAAUCUUGACAUCCUUUGACCCUUCUAGAGAUAGAAGUUUCCCCUUCGGGGGACAAAGUGACAGGUGGUGCAUGGUUGU